GAGUUUGAUCUUGGCUCAGGACGAACGCUGGCGGCGUGCUUAACACAUGCAAGUCGUACGGGGCAGCAAUGCCCAGGGGCGAACGGGUGCGUAACACGUGAGAAAUCUGUCCAUCGGCGGGGGAUAGCCGGCCCAACGGCCGGGUAAUACCGCGUACGUCGGCGGGGGCGCAUGCUCCUGCCGGGAAAGCAGCAAUGCACCGAUGGAGGAUCUCGCGGCCUAUCAGCUUGUUGGCGGGGUAAUGGCCCACCAAGGCGACGACGGGUAGCUGGUCUGAGAGGAUGAUCAGCCACAUUGGGACUGAGACACGGCCCAGACUCCUACGGGAGGCAGCAGUGGGGAAUAUUGCGCAAUGGGCGAAAGCCUGACGCAGCGACGCCGCGUGUGGGAUGACGGCCU
rnacentral:rRNA from 1 species